rnacentral:lncRNA from 1 species
AUACAUAAAAGUUCAGUAAAAUAGUUUUAAAGCAAUCUAAGCCUUCUGAACUUAUUACAACUAAACAUCUUCACCAUAAAUCAUCUAUUCUUCAUACCUGAAGUGCCGAGCUUUCCGAAUGAGUUUUUGUUCUCCAAUUUGAAUUUUUUCUUCAAACAUCCGCGAUCAAUUCUUCAAGACUCCAUUCAACUUUACGAAAUCCGCCAACCUAUAAAAUCCUUAACAAUCUCCCUCUUUGGCGAUUUCGUGACAAAAGAACAUUACAAAGCUCGUACACAACUCAGAAACAAUAAAAAGAAGAUCAUCGCAAUCACCAAACGACAAUCUCCUGCAUGAUCGAUCCAAUAAACAAAAAUUAUAUUUUUCAAACCUUAAUACAGACUCUAUGACUUAGACAU